rnacentral:lncRNA from 1 species
UAAAAAUAUAGUAACCCACACUGUGUCAGUCAGGAGACAAUACAAGACUUGCUUGAUUAUCAUCAAUGCAGAGGAAAAUUAUAGAGGAAAACUCAAGUUACAAGGUAUGUAGAUAUAUCCAAACUUUACCUAUGUACGUGGCUUUGGAUUAUAAAGAGAUUAUGGAUUAUACCUAAUAACUAAUUAAUGAUUGAGGGGAGGGGCAAAGUAUUGUUUUAACAGAUACUAUGAAAAUUAAACUAUUUCACUGAUAUAUCGAUUUCUGCCUCUUUGAAUUUAGGGAUACAAUGAUUAAUCAAUCAUUACGUAAUGAUGAGAGGAAUUGUGAUGACAAUUUAGUGUAUUGUGUACAUGAUGGAUACAAAAAUGGGUUUCAACGUGACUAUUCGAUAACAUGAUUAGCCAGUUCGAAUCUGUAGGAUUAUGUAUAAAAUUGUGGCUUCGGUUUCAAGUGCAAAUACAUAUUUUUCCUUAUGAAUAUUAUUUUGGGACUCGAAUUUUCAUAUAUUGGACUUGGAUAUUAAAUAUUGAGUUUAGAUUGAGAUAUUGGAAUAUGUCUUUAUCUUUUAAAAAAAUAAUAUUUAAUAGGUAGAAUAUUAAAAUAUUGCUCUAGGUUUGAAAGUUAGGAAUAUUGAGAUUACCUCGACUAGAAUCAUUUAUAUUGUUAUUCUAUAUUUUGGAUAGAUUGAGGUCAUUGAAGGCCGUUUGGUUGAUGUUAUAGACAUCGCAAGGUUGGGAAACUUCCCAUUCGCGAGGUAAGUGAGACUUUAAGCUUUGGAUGCUUGCUUUUCCAAAAUCCCUUUUGAAAGUAUGUUUUUUUCUGCCCGGUCCAUGUGUUGGGACAAGCGUGCGCUUGGCAGAAUCGGUGGUCGUCGACCAGCCGCAAAUAUAUAUUAUUUUGUAAAAAGCUAAAAAAAUUUAAUGAGUGAUUUGUGAUGUGGUGUGAUGUGGCGUAGCCUCGUGCAAUGUCGUUGGGGCGUUAGAAUUUAUUCCUUCACUGCCGUAACAUAUUUUGGGGAAUUGUGUAUACCGCCGUUAUAAAUUUGGGGCAUUGUGUAUGUCGCCGAUAUAAAAUUUGGGGAAUUGUGUAAGCCGCCGUUAUAAAAUUUGGGGCAUUGUGUAUGCCGCCGUUAUAAAAUUGGGGCAUUCUGUAUGCUGCCGUGGACUCGUCGGGGUGUUUGGUCAAUUUCCUGCACUACCGUUAAUGACAAAUCCUUAAUGUAGAUUGUGUUGAGAUAUAAAUAGUGUUGUUGUUGAAUAAUUGUUUGGACCUUAGAGAGUAAUUAUACGGUGAAAGAAUUUCUGUGCAUAUUUGUGUGUUUGUAUUUUCUAACACUUGUUCCUGAGGUAUUCAGAGUGGCGGGUCGAUGAUUUUACUGGGUUAUAUUUACGUAUAACUCACUCCUUACCUGCAUAUCCAUGCAGAUACUAUUGGUGAAGACGGAGCUUGUAGCUGACGAGUUCGCUAGAGUUGAUUCAGUCAUUGAGGUGAGCCACCGCAUUGUUCAUGGAGGCUGCCCAAAGAGUCUUUAUCAUUUAUUCAUAUGAGGUCUUUUGUAAUUCUCUUAGAUACUCCAUGGUCUAGUGUGGGAUUUGAGUUAGAGUGUUAAUUUUAUAUUUUGAGAUAUUAAUUGUUCAUAAUAGUAAUCAGAUUAUUUGGAUACUCAUUUAAUUAAUCAAAUGUUGUCAAUUUAUGGUUAA